rnacentral:rRNA from 1 species
UACGUAGGUGGCGAGCGUUGUCCGGAUUUACUGGGCGUAAAGGGAGCGUAGGCGGACUUUUAAGUGAGAUGUGAAAUACUCGGGCUCAACUUGAGUGCUGCAUUUCAAACUGGAAGUCUAGAGUGCAGGAGAGGAGAAUGGAAUUCCUAGUGUAGCGGUGAAAUGCGUAGAGAUUAGGAAGAACACCAGUGGCGAAGGCGACUCUCUGGACUGUAACUGACGCUGAGGCUCGAAAGCGUGGGGAGCAAACAGG